ACUGAGAUGAUCUUUAAGAUCCUGCCCAGUUGUUACUCAUUCUAGGAUUCCACUUCAUAACUGGAAGGAAAUCCAGUGAUUACAAACUGGCCUUUUUUCUAAUGUUGCUGUCUCAAAAUUUGUAUCUUAGAUUGAAGCUCCCAGAGAGAAGUUUUGUGCACUUGGAGAAUGUAUUUUGCUUCGUCAGCUUAUAUAUUGGUUAUGUUUGUUUGCCUGUUUGCAUUAGAAAUCUCCUGCUGUGAAGGUUACUCAUUUUAAAGGCUGCUUGGGAGAGGCCUUCCUGAAUGGAAAAUCCAUCGGCCUAUGGAACUAUAUUGAAAGGGAAGGCAAGUGCCGUGGGUGCUUUGGAAGCUCCCAGAAUGAAGACCCUUCCUUCCAUUUUGACGGGAGUGGGUACUCUGUCGUGGAGAAGUCACUUCCGGCUACCGUGACCCAGAUAAUCAUGCUUUUUAAUACCUUUUCACCUAACGGACUUCUUCUCUACCUGGGUUCAUACGGCACAAAAGACUUUUUAUCCAUCGAGCUGUUUCACGGC
rnacentral:sRNA from 1 species